rnacentral:rRNA from 1 species
UGAGUACGAGCUGCUACGGCAGCGAAGUGGGUGACGUCAAGCUUCCAAGAAAAGCCCUACACCCGUUAAGGCAUGAUGGCCUGUACCCGAAACCGACACAGGUGGGGUGGUAGAGAAUACCGAGGGGCGCGAGGUAACUCUCUCUAAGGAACUCGGCAAAAUGGCCCCGUAACUUCGGGAGAAGGGGUGCCACCGCAAGGUGGUCGCAGUGAAGAGGCCCAGGCGACUGUUUACCAAAAACACAGGUCUCCGCUAAGUCGCAAGACGAUGUAUGGGGGCUGACGCCUGCCCAGUGCCGGAAGGUUAAGGAAGCUGGUCAGCGCAAGCGAAGCUGGCGACUGAAGCCCCGGUGAACGGCGGCCGUAACUAUAACGGUCCUAAGGUAGCGAAAUUCCUUGUCGGGUAAGUUCCGACCCGCACGAAAGGCGUAACGAUCUGGGCGCUGUCUCGGAGAGAGGCUCGGCGAAAUAGAAUUGUCUGUGAAGAUGCGGACUACGUGCACCCGGACAGAAAGACCCUAUGAAGCUUUACUGUAGCUUGGUAUUGUGCCCGGGCUCUGAAUGCGCAGGAUAGGUGGGAGGCUUUGAUCCAUUGCUUGUGGGUGAUGGUGAGCCAACGGUGAGAUACCACUCUUUCAGAGCUAGGGUUCUAACGGUCACCCGUUAUCCGGGGACCGGACAGUAUCAGGUGGGCAGUUUACUGGGGCGGUCGCCUCCUAAAAGGUAACGGAGGCGCGCAAAGGUUCCCUCAGGCUGGUUGGAAAUCAGCCGAUGAGUGUAAAGGCAGAAGGGAGCUUGACUGUGAGACCUACAAGUCGAACAGGGACGAAAGUCGGCCUUAGUGAUCCGACGGUUCUGAGUGGAAGGGCCGUCGCUCAACGGAUAAAAGUUACUCUAAGGAUAACAGGCUGAUCUCCCCCAAGAGUUCACAUCGACGGGGAGGUUUGGCACCUCGAUGUCGGCUCAUCGCAACCUGGGGCUGAAGUCGGUCCCAAGGGUUGGGCUGUUCGCCCAUUAAGGCGGUACGCGAGCUGGGUUCAGAACGUCGUGAGACAGUUCGGUCCAUAUCCGGUGCAUGCGCAGGAAUAUUGAGAGGAUUUCUCCCUAGUACGAGAGGACCGGGUGGAACGCACCUCUGGUGUACCAGUUAUCGUGCCAACGGUAAACGCUGGGUAGCCAUGUGCGGAGUGGAUAACCGCUGAAAGCAUCUAAGUGGGAAGCCCACCUCAAGAUGAGUAUUCCCAUGGCGUUAGCCAGUAAGGUCACGGGCAGAACACCCGUUGAUAGGCUCUACGUGGAAGCCGGGUAACCGGUGAAGCGGAGGAGUACUAAUAGACCGAGGGCUUGACC